ACAAAGAGUCAGCAGGUACAGACGAAGUUAUAGCGGAGGCGAUGGCAAUAGUUAUUAACAGCCAGUCAGUUACAGAUGCAUUGCGACAGAGACGUUGUUAUCUACGUCUCUGAUUGCGAACACAGAAUUAAACAACAUUGGUCAUAAUCUUACAUACAAGAGAUCGGCAGAGCAGGAAGAAGCCAUGUUGAUGCCCUGGUCAUUCUCUUCUUUUACAAAUCAUUCAUUGCAUCUGCACAUAUGACCAGAGAAAUGAAG